ensembl:lncRNA
ACCCAAAGGACCUUGGGAAUUUUUGCAGUUAGAUUUUAUUGGUCCGCUGCCCAGUGCCAAGGGGGGGUAUCGUUAUUGCCUUGUAAUAAUUGAUAAAUUCUCCAAAUGGAUCGAAGUGAUUCCCACCCGCAAUAACAGUGCAAACACAGUGGCACGAGUGUUAGCGAACCAAAUUCUUCCGCUCUGGGGAGCUCCAGUUCAAAUUGAAUCUGACCAGGGAACCCACUUCACUGGCCAGAUAAUGCAAUCUAUGUGCAAAAUGCUAAAUAUCAAACAGAGAUUUCACGUUCCUUACAGACCACAGAGUUCAGGGAUCGUAGAACGAUCAAAUCGCACGAUUAAAGAAAGCAUCUCAAAACAAAUAAUCCAACACAAGAACAGGUGGACCGACGCAUUACCCACGGUACUAACAGUGAUGCGGGCGACUCCAUCAAAGUCCACGGGCAUCAGCCCGUUCGAGCUCAUGACUGGAAGAGUCAUGAAACUACCAAUAGACCCAGAAAUCACUCCAGCGGAUCUGGGACCUCUCAUGAUUGCAACUCAACAGACUAUUUUGAAACAGCUACAAGGCCGACUCAGUGUGUUACAUACACAGGCCACUCUGAAACAACAGCCAAACUCUGAGAUAAAAUUCUCAGAGGGUGACAUGGUGAUGAUACGGGUCUUUGUGAAACAGGGCCCAUUCAAACCUCGAUGGCAUGGGCCAUAUGAGGUCAAAGCAACCUGCAACAGUUGCAUUGCCACAGAUUUCAAAGGAAAACUGCGAUGGUAUCACAUGUCACAGUGCAAACUAUACAAGGGUAGACAAGACAAAUAAUUUUCUUCUUCUAUUUUCUAGGUUGACUGCAGCAAUCCCAUGGAGACCGGACGAGAGGAAAAUAUCCAGGCCCACGUGCAUCAGACUGGGCCAAAGGGUUUCACUCACACACAACCUGAAAUGCGGAAGGUGGGUGUGGAAAUAUUCCAAGGGGCCUUCCACACCUGAAAUUACGGUAGUACCAAAAGAGAUAGUUACAUGGCCUCCCGGGUUAGCACCGGAUCAAAAUUGCACCCCAAAAAUUUGUUGCAACUCAGGUAGCACACACCCACC